AGCAGGGCCUUUUCUGAUAUUCUGAGAGGUCAUUUAAAUCUUGUCUGGUCUGUUUCCAGGCCCUGCAAGGCACCAGGCUUGCUUUGACUGGCUGCCCUCAGAGUGUAUGAAGAUGAGAGUGUUAUUAGAAUCCAAAGUCAUUCAUUGGCCAGUGCUGGUAAACUAAAAUCCGAAACGUGUGCAAAAUGCGUUUUUUCUUUGGAGAAGGUGACAUCUCAUCUGAGUGCCUCAGGCCCCUGGAAGAUGUUAUCUGCUAAGAAGAAAUCACACAUGCCAGGUUACCCGUCUUUAGGUGAUUUCUUCGAAGUGUGGCCGCACCUCCCUUGAUGACUGCUGGGGGGUGUAAUGAAUCACCCACUUGCGGGAGAAGGCUGGAGAAUUUGCUUUACCAGAGAUACAGAAGUGGAGGGAAUGCACAGAUAUUGAAGUGUGUGUGCACGCAUAUGUGAGUUUACAUGCUUUGCAUGCCCCUGUGUGCACACAUGAGUGCAUUUGUGUGUGCACAAGUGCAUUGAUGUACACACAUGUGCAUCUCCAGCCCUACUGAGGUCUCACAGAGGGGCAGAUCAAGACAGUUCCUUAGAAACAACUACUAGCAAGGCAUUUAUGGAAGUGGCCUGGCCCUGGGAAGCUCAGAGCAUCAGAUUGUGAAGCAGAAUUUUACAUAAUGACUCCAGGAAAGGAUGCGGAGUAAUGGAAGGAAUACCGAUUUAGAAAGCAAGGGGCUAAGCCCUGUCUCUGCUCCCAGCCUACUAGGCGACUUCAGGAGACUCAUUAACCUCCUGAGCCUCGUUUUCCCCACAUGCGAAGCUGUAAAACCCAAACUCCUUGCCAAGGUGUUCCAGGCCUGUAGUGGGCGCUGCGGUGCAUGACUCUCCUUCAGGACUGAGCCCCCUGUCUCCCAGCUGCCGGAGUGUGGGCAGCUUGUGCUCCUCAGAAACGAAGAGUCCUUCAUCCAAGGUCACACUCCCAUCCCUAGGGAGCAGCUAGCCGGGGACACACCCAUGCAGGUGUCAGGCCCAGCCUCCGGCCUGAUACCUCUGCAGGCCCUCCCAGCUCUAUGCUCCCUGCGGGGCCAGCAGAGACCUUUCUUGUGAAUACAAGGCAGCCCGGCUUCUCUGCUAGACUUCUGCUUCCCUUUCACUCCUUUUCAAAUGGACAGUCCCAAGAGCACGUCCCGAUGACUCCCCUGCCUGCAGACUUCCAUCUCAGGAGAUCCCAGACCAACACCCCAGUGGUCUGUGCCUCGGUGAUGGCCCCUCCUCCACUGUCCCUCACUCUGCUGAGGGCUGUGCAGCCCUUCUCUUCAUCAAAGCACACUCAAGCCUCAGGGCCUUUGCACCUUCCUUCUGUAGAAAACUCUUCCCCCCACCUUUGUAGGUGGCUUCCUACUAUUUAAAUCUCAGCGAAAUGGUCAUGUCCUCAGCAAGGCCUUCCCUGACCCCAUCUAGGGUUCCUCCCUCAAUUAAUCUGAAAACAUCACUGUUUUAUUUUUUUUCAAGGCCUUUAUCACUCCCUGAUAUUAGGUUUGUUAAUUAUGCAGUUGUUUAUUUUCUGUCACCCACUCCUUUGAAAUGAAAGUUCCCUGAGCAUAGGAUCUGCAGCUUGGCUGCUGCCCCAUCCGCAGUGCUAACAAGUGAACCUGGAACAAGGCAUCUGCCUGUUGGAAACCACCUGGGAAAAGAAUUUACAUUGGACUUGAAGUGAGGUGCAUCAGCUGCCAAGGACACCACUAAAAUAUCAGUCUCAGCUCCAUUAUAGGUUGUGCAAGGACGGCUCUGACAGCCGUGUCAAAACUAUGAAGGCGGCAUGGCCCACCUGCUGAAGAUGUCACAGUGGAAAGGUGAAGUCUCAGGGCUCAGACAAGAUUGUGAACUGGCGAAUUAACACAGGAGCCUUCUUUCCCCAAGUUCCUUGUCCUAUGAGGUUAUACCACUGAUUGUUUAUGCCAUUUUUAGUUGAAGGUUCUUUUGCUUGCAGCCCCAAGCAUUCUCACUGACAUGAAAGGUCUGCAAGAGUCAUGAGCAGACUGUGGCAGUAUAUUUUGAUAGUCUAUGUGGAGAAACCUUAGUGCAUGGGUGUCGUCAUAGCGGUUCUGCCUCUCUAAGGAUAUUCCCCUUUACUUCUGAGUUUACAGCUGUGAUCAGGAUAGUGAGUUCGCCCUCAUCCCAGUGGCAUUGUACUAUCUUAACAGGCUGCAUGGAGAGUAAUGGAGAAAGACACCAUUGUCCAAGCUGACUUUGACCCCCUGGAGCUCUCACAGUAUUUCGAGAUGGUUUGCCCUGUGAAGGGCAGACCUACCUGUGUUUCCAUCAGGCCCCAAUUUCCUCAUUACUUUGCUCAGCUUCCAAGAUGAGAUCAUUAUUAAUUAAUACACUUAUAGUUAUUAACAUAUGGUGACAUUAAUUAACUACAGUCUACUAAAUGCCCCCUGUGUGUCUGGUCUGAUGCUACAUGUUGUGCUGCAUUUUCUCAUUGAUCCUCCCAACAACCCAAGAAGAUGAGUUUUGCUAUGCAUAUUUUACAAGAAAGAACCCAAGGUUCAGAUCAUUAAUGCGCCCAAAGGCCCAC
rnacentral:lncRNA from 1 species